GGCAGGUCAGGAGUACAGUAGGUCGUGGUCAGCGCUGACCACGGCGCUUGAAAGAGAAUGAGCGCUCUCAGUCUCUCACAGGCCGAGAGGGACGCGGACAAUGGUGUUCUGCGGCACUACCGUGGGACGCAUUGAAGGGGGAGGUUGAGAUUCAACUGCAGCUUGAAUGAUUGUAUUGGUCGCUCGCGUCUUAGCGUUUCAAAACGUGUUUAGCGCCUCUUCGCCAAGUUGCGGCAGUAACGCGUUACGCCUGUACCGUGGGCCAAGUUGACUGGUUCGCUCUAAGAACUUCGUUGCAACGCUGAGUGAAGAGUACUUAACCUUUCGUAAUGGACACAAAGGAAAACAUGGACACAAAAAGAAAUGCAGGUGAGACAAGCGGUGCCAGGAAUCUUUGUGGUGGGUUUGACACUGACGACAAGUGCUUUCAAAUGGACACAAAGGAAAACAUGGACACAAAAAGAAAUGACUCGACAAGCAGUGCCAGAAUGCCUUGUAAAAGGGAGUUUGACACCGACGACAAGUGCGUUCCUUCAGAAGAGCAGGAAGACGUAAAAGCACCUACAGCAGCUGCUAUGUGAGGCCCCCGCCAGCAGUUGCCACAGUUCUUGCCAAAGCCUCGCCGUCUCCCGCCUUGCUGGAGAUUCGGGUAGAAAUUUCUUGCCUGGUUAUAAAAGCCUUUCACGGUGCAGAGUAUUGUUACGGCGGUGAGAGAAUGAAUGAAAUAAAUAUAUUUACAAAAUAU
rnacentral:misc_RNA from 1 species